rnacentral:rRNA from 1 species
UGGGGAAUAUUGGACAAUGGGGGGAACCCUGAUCCAGCCAUGCCGCGUGUGUGAAGAAGGCCUUAUGGUUGUAAAGCACUUUAAGCGAGGAGGCGUUACUCGCAGAAUAAGCACCGGCUAACUCUGUGCCAGCAGCCGCGGUAAUACAGAGGGUGCGAGCGUUAAUCGGAUUUACUGGGCGUAAAGCGUGCGUAGGCGGCUUAUUAAGUCGGAUGUGAAAUCCCCGAGCUUAACUUGGGAAUUGCAUUCGAUACUGGUGAGCUAGAGUAUGGGAGAGGAUGGUAGAAUUCCAGGUGUAGCGGUGAAAUGCGUAGAGAUCUGGAGGAAUACCGAUGGCGAAGGCAGCCAUCUGGCCUAAUACUGACGCUGAGGUACGAAAGCAUGGGGAGCAAACAGGAUUAGAUACCCUGGUAGU